GAGGGUAUGGCUCUGUGGUAGAGCGUGUGCUCAGCAUGCACAAGGCCCUGGGUUCAAUCCCCAGCACCUCCA
rnacentral:tRNA from 1 species